rnacentral:rRNA from 1 species
CGUGAGGGAUGAAGGCCUUCGGGUUGUAAACCCCUUUCACGAGGGAAGAAGAUGACCGGUACCUCGAGAAGAGCCCCGGCCAACUACGUUGCCACCACCCCCGUUA